rnacentral:rRNA from 1 species
GAUGAACGCUGGCGGCGUGCCUAAUACAUGCAAGUCGAGCGAACGGACGAGAAGCUUGCUCCUCUGACGUUAGCGGCGGACGGGUGAGUAACACGUGGAUAACCUACCUAUAAGACUGGGAUAACUUCGGGAAACCGGAGCUAAUACCGGAUAAUAUUUUGAACCGCAUGGUUCAAAAGUGAAAGACGGUCUUGCUGUCACUUAUAGAUGGAUCCGCGCUGCAUUAGCUAGUUGGUAAGGUAACGGCUUACCAAGGCAACGAUGCAUAGCCGACCUGAGAGGGUGAUCGGCCACACUGGAACUGAGACACGGUCCAGACUCCUACGGGAGGCAGCAGUAGGGAAUCUUCCGCAAUGGGCGAAAGCCCGACGGAGCAACGCCGCGUGAGUGAUGAAGGUCUUCGGAUCGUAAAACUCUGUUAUUAGGGAAGAACAUAUGUGUAAGUAACUGUGCACAUCUUGACGGUACCUAAUCAGAAAGCCACGGCUAACUACGUG